GCUUGUCUCAAGAUUAAGCCAUGCAUGUCUAAGUACAAGCCUCAGUAAGGUGAAACCGCGAAUGGCUCAUUAAAUCACACCUAAUCUACUGGAAAGUUACUAGUUACUUGGAUAACUGAGGUAAUUCUUGAGCUAAUACAUGCGAAAAAUCUCGACUCACGGAAGGGGUGUAUUUAUUAGAUAAAAAACCAACGCCCUUCGGGGCUUCUUGGUGAUUCAUGAUAACUUUACGGAUCGCAUGGCCUUGCGCCGGCGACGGUUCAUUCAAAUUUCUGCCCUAUCAACUUUCGAUGGUAAGGUAUUGGCUUACCAUGGUUUCAACGGGUAACGGGGAAUUAGGGUUCGAUUCCGGAGAGGGAGCCUGAGAAACGGCUACCACAUCCAAGGAAGGCAGCAGG
rnacentral:rRNA from 1 species